AUUGAACGCUGGCGGCAUGCCUUACACAUGCAAGUCGAACGGUAACAGGUCUUCGGAUGCUGACGAGUGGCGAACGGGUGAGUAAUACAUCGGAACGUGCCUAGUAGAGGGGGAUAACUACUCGAAAGAGUGGCUAAUACCGCAUGAGAUCUACGGAUGAAAGCAGGGGAUCGCAAGACCUUGUGCUACUAGAGCGGCCGAUGGCAGAUUAGGUAGUUGGUGGGAUAAAAGCUUACCAAGCCGACGAUCGGUAGCUGGUCUGAGAGGACGAUCAGCCACACUGGGACUGAGACACGGCCCAGACUCCUACGGGAGGCAGCAGUGGUGAAUUUUGGACAAUGGGCGCAAGCCUGAUCCAGCAAUGCCGCGUGCAGGAUGAAGGCCUUCGGGUUGUAAACUGCUUUUGUACGGAACGAAAAGCCCCGGGUUAAUACCCUGGGGUCAUGACGGUACCGUAAGAAUAAGCACCGGCUAACUACGUGCCAGCCGCCGCCGUAA
rnacentral:rRNA from 1 species